AUUACUGGUUCCCGUACGACCACCAAAGUUAAGCAAGGUCGAGCCAAGUCAGUACCUAGAUGGGUGAGCGCUUGAGAAUAACAGGUGUUGUAAG